CAUACUAUUUAGUAACUAAAUCUCUUUUCUUGAAAACAGGUACCAUGCAACAUUAAAAUUGGCACAUUAUUCGUCUGUUUCAGUCACUUUCAUUGCUUAACUAAACUGACAUAUAAACAUGUCAAUUUUACAGCUACAAAUGUUAUCUUUCAAUUUCUAAGCUUUACAUAUGGGUAUUUAAAGUAUGUGUUUCACAGAGUAGAAACAAAAUCUGUCAACAUAUUCAUGAUUUGAAACAACUUUUUGCUGAAUCAUCAACUCAGUUGUAAGUUGUGACAUGUUUUAGCUCUCCUGUACCACAUGAAGAAGUUACUUAUAUGUCCACAUCUUUCAGGUCAUUGUAUUGAAUUUGUCUGAUAAAGUAGAUAUGUGACAUUUACAAGUUUUGAAA